rnacentral:ncRNA from 1 species
UAGUUCACUAUGGGGUGGCCGGGAAUAUCCGGUCUGAGAGAAAACCCUUUGAACCUGAUCAGGACAGUCGCCGAGAUGGAUGAUAUGCCUGCGUAGGAAAGUGAUUGUUUACAAU